UACAGAGGUCUCAAGCGUUGUUCGGAUUCAUUGGGCGUAAAGGGUGUGUAGGUGGCGCGCUAAGUCGGGUGUGAAAUCUCCGGGCUUAACUCGGAACGGUCAAGUGAUACUGUCGGACUAGAGUACAGAAGGGGCAACUGGAAUUCUCGGUGUAGCGGUGAAAUGCGUAGAUAUCGAGAGGAACACCAGUGGCGAAGGCGACUCACUGGACAUGUAUUGACGCUGAGGCGCGAAAGCGUGGGGAGCAAACAGG
rnacentral:rRNA from 1 species